rnacentral:misc_RNA from 1 species
UACGUAGGGGGCAAGCGUUGUCCGGAAUUAUUGGGCGUAAAGCGCGCGCAGGCGGUUUUUUAAGUCGGGUGUAUAAUUCCAAGGCUUAACCUUGGGUGGCAUCCGAAACUGGGAGACUUCGAGUGCAGAAGAGGAGAGUGGAAUUCCACGUGUAGCGGUGAAAUGCGUAGAUAUGUGGAGGAACACCAGUGGCGAAGGCGACUCUCUGGUCUGUCACUGACGCUGAGGCGCGAAAGCGUGGGGAGCAAACAGG